GUAAACAUUGGAUGAAAUUUUUUAUUAUAUAAAGUGAUCAGACAAUUCAACAUUUGAUAUAUGCAAAUCCUUUUUAUUAAUAGAAUGGCUGAAAUUCUCAAGUUUAUUUAUAAUGCGAUCCUUUUUGUUUCUUUGUAUUUUAUUGUAAUUUAUGGCGAAUUAGUGUGUGAUACUGAUGACGAUUGCCUGAAAUUUUUUCCUGACAAUCCAUAUCCCAUGGAGUGCAUCAACAGUAUUUGUCUUUCCUUGACCGACUAAGGUUAUCCUCAAAACAAGAUUGAGGAGUGAUAUCAAUGUGUUUGUGUAUAAGAAUAAAGUGGAUAUUUAUGAUCUCACCUAUAUUAUAUUUUUAUUUAAAGUUUUAUUGAUCAGUGUUUAUGUUUAAAUAGGGUUCUAGUCACUGAUAUUGUGACAUCAGGGACAAGUUUAAUAAUUUGAUCUUGACUUAUUAUCUUGGAAACUAAGAAAACAUUACAUAUUUUAUUUUAUAUUAUGGAUAAUUGUAAGGCUCUAAUAAGGAAAAAUAUUUUAUUUUGAGUUAUGGAAUUAAAUUUCUACUUGUCA